CCUAGGGAGGCAGCAGUAGGGAAUCUUCCACAAUGGACGAAAGUCUGAUGGAGCAACGCCGCGUGAGUGAAGAAGGGUUUCGGAUCGUAAAGUUCUGUUGAAGGGGAAAAAGAGCGGAGAGAGGAAAUGGUCUCCGAUUGAUAUUACCCUUCGAGGAAGUCACGGCUAACUACGUGCCAGCAGCCGCGGUAAUACGUAGGUGGCGAGCGUUAUCCGGAAUGAUUGGGCGUAAAGGGUGCGUAGGCGGCCUGCUAAGUCUGGAGUGAAAGGUACCGGCUCAACCGGUACAGGCUCUGGAAACUGGG
rnacentral:rRNA from 1 species